GAUGAAGAACGCAGCGAAAUGCGAUAAGUAGUGUGAAUUGCAGAAUUCAGUGAAUCAUCGAAUCUUUGAACGCACAUUGCGCCCCUUGGUAUUCCAUGGGGCAUGCCUGUUCGAGCGUCAUUUGAACCCUCAAGCUAUGCUUGGUGUUGGGUGUUUGUCCUCUCCUUUUGCGAUUGGACUCGCCUUAAAGACAUUGGCAGCCAGUGUAUUGGUCUUGAAGCGCAGCACAUUUUGCGAUUCUUGCUGAUAAUCACUAGCGUCCAGUAAGCCUAUUUUAACACUUUUGACCUCGGAUCAGGUAGGGAUACCCGCUGAACUUAAGCAUAUCAAUAAGCGGAGGA
rnacentral:misc_RNA from 1 species